CCUGUUAGCAAAAAUAAAUGUCACAAUGUUUCACAGCUGGAUAGUGCAUGAUUUAAUGAAUAGAGGAGAACGGUCUCCGGGAACAAGCUCCAAAAGGUUCAUCAGAUGCCCUGGGCCCCAUGCAGGAG